rnacentral:misc_RNA from 1 species
AAGUCGUAACAAGGUUUCCGUAGGUGAACCUGCGGAAGGAUCAUUAUAGAUAUAAGCUCUCGGGCUUUUAACACCUCUGUGCACCGUGGCUUCGGCCUACACACACAAUUGUCUCUGAAUGUAAUACAUUAUAAACAAAUAAAACUUUCAACAACGGAUCUCUUGGCUCUC